UGAAGGCUGAAAUUCGCCUUCAUGAAGCUGGAAUUGCUAGUAAUCGGCAGGUCAGCAUACUGCCGUGAAUACGUUCCCGGGCCUUGUACACACCGCCCGUCACACCAUGAGAGUCGAUAACACCCGAAGCCUGUGAGCUAACCUUUCAGGAGGCAGCAGUCGAAGGUGGGGUUGAUGAUUGGGGUGAAGUCGUAACAAGGUAUC
rnacentral:rRNA from 1 species